GGAAAGACAGAGGAAGGGAUUCUGGGAGGUUGUAGCAGUGGAAAAAGUUCUUUUCUUCCUCUGAUCGCCCUCUCAGCUCUUUCCUUCUGACUGAAAAUCAUCUUCAGCACCU